rnacentral:rRNA from 1 species
UAAACCUGAGAAACCCGAAAGAUCGAAUGGGGAGAUUCAUCGUCAGCGAUUUUGGUACGUGUGCGGUUCGAGAUGCCGGUGACUUCGGUCACUCGACACUCGUCUGCAUGUUUAUUAUUGCCUGAAUCGUCGGCGUGCACUUCUCCCCUAGUAGGACGUCGCGACCCGUUGGGUGUCGGUCUACGGCUCGGAUGGUAGCCUGUCUCGCGUGCGUCUCACGGCGUUUCGCGGGUCAGACCUUCGAUCGCCCGACCGGCUGCUCGGCGGUACUCGCACGGUAUCUGGCCGCAAAUAUUUGAACUGCGUCCGGCCCGUCGCAAGCGAGGCAAGUGUUCCCGGCUGUACGGAUUUAGUGCCGUCGCCGGGCCUUGACAGCUGUUGGUUGACGGUGUCCUGGGACUGGCCAACAAAAUUAUGAUACCGGUCGGCGACGCUACUGCUUUGGGUACUUUCAGGACCCGUCUUGAAACACGGACCAAGGAGUCUAACAUGUGCGCGAGUCAUUGGGAACUAUUAAACCUAAAGGCGCAAUGAAAGUGAAGGUCGGCCUUGCGCCGACCGAGGGAGGAUGGGCCGCGUUACGAUGCGGUCUCGCACUCCCGGGGCGUCUCGUUCUCAUUGCGAGGAGAGGCGUACCCAGAGCGUACACGUUGGGACCCGAAAGAUGGUGAACUAUGCCUGGUCAGGACGAAGUCAGGGGAAACCCUGAUGGAGGUCCGUAGCGAUUCUGACGUGCAAAUCGAUCGUCGGAACUGGGUAUAGGGGCGAAAGACUAAUCGAACCAUCUAGUA